rnacentral:rRNA from 2 species
UACGUAGGGUGCGAGCGUUGUCCGGAUUUAUUGGGCGUAAAGAGCUUGUAGGCGGCUCGUCACGUCGGGUGUGAAAACCCGCGGCUCAACCGCGGGCCUGCACCCGAUACGGGCGGGCUAGAGUUCGGCAGGGGAGACUGGAAUUCCUGGUGUAGCGGUGGAAUGCGCAGAUAUCAGGAGGAACACCGGUGGCGAAGGCGGGUCUCUGGGCCGAUACUGACGCUGAGAAGCGAAAGCGUGGGGAG